rnacentral:rRNA from 1 species
AGAUUGAACGCUGGCGGCAUGCUUUACACAUGCAAGUCGAACGGUAACAGGGGCUUCGGUCUGCUGACGAGUGGCGAACGGGUGAGUAAUGCGUCGGAACGUGCCGAGUAAUGGGGGAUAACGCAUCGAAAGGUGUGCUAAUACCGCAUACGCUCUGAGGAGGAAAGCUGGGGAUCGAAAGACCUGGCGUUAUUCGAGCGGCCGACGUCUGAUUAGCUAGUUGGUGAGGUAAAGGCUCACCAAGGCGACGAUCUGUAGCGGGUCUGAGAGGAUGAUCCGCCACACUGGAACUGAGACACGGUCCAGACUCCUACGGGAGGCAGCAGUGGGGAAUUUUGGACAAUGGGCGCAAGCCUGAUCCAGCCAUGCCGCGUGAGUGAAGAAGGCCUUCGGGUUGUAAAGCUCUUUCGGCCGGGAAGAAAUCGCACAGGUUAAUACCCUGUGUGGAUGACGGUACCGGAAUAAGAAGCACCGGCUAACUACGUG